ACCAGCCCAUUAUCCCAGAUGAUCAACAGAUGAUUCCCCAUACCAUUCACCUCUGCUUCCUGUUCAGCAGCACAGCGGAUAUCAAAACCACACAUGUUCCUUCAGUGCUCUAGAUUCCCUGUCUGGGAAUGGCCCCCUGAGGGUCAAACCUUGGCUUCUUCCUCCUCUUCCUGCUAUUUGCAGGUCAAAGGCGACGGCCUGCUGGAGAGGCGUUUCCCACUACAGCUCUACUGGAUUCACACUCAAACCUCCAUUAGGGAAGACAACUUUUGUUGUGCCUCAGAAAACACCAAGGGUCACGUCUGGUCUCUCUCCUGAGCCCCAGUGGAGGCUGCGUGGGCUUACUCCAAGACAUCUGGCAUGAUAGAGUUUACUCGUUCAGCUGCUGCAGCCUGGACAGAAACACCAGCUCUUACCUUACAAACCAGGUGUCACCACUUCGUCCAUGAUCACAGAGACGUCGUCCAUGAUCGCAGUCUUCAUACAAAGAAGUUCUUUGAAACCAGGACUGGGGCCUCAAGGAUUCAAACUUCAACCAUUAAAUGACAGAAGAGACAGACGGGAGACAUUUUGAGAAGGUCCUCAGCUGCUGUCGUCUUCUCCUGCAGAGACAAGAACACGUGUUAAUCACAGAAACUGAUCAGUAAAGCUAUUUUUCCUUGUUGAUACGUAAUUACAGUGAUGUAUACUAAACUUUUACAACUCAUUUAGUAUCACAUAUUCAGUGUGUUUUUCUAAUUAUUACAGUCACAGUUACGACUAGAAAUUUUUGUAAAACUCUGAUAUAUAAUAAUUAUUUUUUAUGCCCUGCUAUUCUAAGACAGUUUCAUGCCUAAGACAAUUUUUACAGUUCUUGACGCCUUACUGUAAUACUACUCACUUAACAUACUAUGAUGAUUUUUGAGUGUUUGUGGUUUAAGUUAGAUUUUGUGUUUGUCAUUUAAUUUUGGUAUUUUGCAAUUUCAAAGCGUGGAAUAUAUUUACUCAAAUCCAAUCUAUUACUGUAUACAUAGUCCUGUGUAUAGUGUUCAUAUUGUUUAUAAUUUUUAUAUAUUGUUAUAUAUUAUGUUGUUUUAUAUCUUGCCUUGUUUAUAUCAUGCUUUUUUAUAUUUUUGCUGCUGUGACACUGAAUUUCCCCACUGUGGGAUUAACAAAAUAUUAUUAUACUCUGACUCAAAUAAAUACUU